GCCUGGAUAGCUCAGUUGGUUAGAGCAUGGUGCUGAUAAUGCCAAGGUUGCAGGUUUGAUCCCCAUAUAGGGCA